GAUGAACGCUAGCUACAGGCUUAACACAUGCAAGUCGAGGGACCGGCGCACGGGUGAGUAACACGUAUACAACCUGCCCUUUACUCGGGGAUAGCCUUUCGAAAGAGAGAUUACUACCCGAUAUAAAGGAUGGGGAUGCGUUACAUUAGGUUGUUGGUGAGGUAACGGCUCACCAAGCCUUCGAUGGAUAGGGGGUCUGAGAGGCAGCUCCACCACAUUGGAACCGCGGCACGGACCAAACUGCGACGCGAGGCAGCAGUGAGGUAUAUUAGUGACUGAGCGCUAGCCUGACCCAGCCAAGUAGCGUGAGGGAGGAAUGGGUAGUAGUCGUAUUCUUCUAUUGUAUAAGAAUCUUUAUCAUAUGAAUAAGGAUCGGCUAACUCCGUGCCAGCCGCCGCGGUAAUUC
rnacentral:rRNA from 1 species